ACGUCACAUACGCCGAUCACAUAUCAAAUCGGACAAAAAAGAUGUGCAGAAAAUAUGUGCUGCCAUUGAAUUCCCUUUUGUCCUUCCUUUCUUUCUAAGUUUUCUUUGGCUUCGGCUGUUCCAUCUUCCUCGUCCUCCUCCGCUGGGUUAGAAAGCUAAGGAUAGUCCGUGGAAUUUUCGAUCCCGGUGAGCACGAACUCAAGAACUGAACUGAAGACAGUGAACCCAGAUUUUGCUCCAAUCGAGUCACCAGAUCUCCCGAGAAUCCCACCCUUUUCCUCGUUAUCCGAGUUGAAGGAGAAACGCCCAUGAAGGAUUCGAGUCCGGGCACGGAGCCCAUCGGGCAGAACCUGAUAAAGCUCAUAGGGAACCUCUGCUUCUCCGUGUUCGUGUUCUCCGUGCUCGUCUUCACCGUGGUCGCCAUCACCUACCAACCCCCGGAUCCUUGGCUCGAGUCCGCCCCUGCCCUCACCCGCCUCUUCACCCAGAGCGAGAACGCCACCUUCAAGAACGACAACUCCAUCCUCACGACGGGCGAGGAUCUGCAGCUCUCCCCCGCGGGCGCCUCGGCAGCGGCUUCGGCUUCCCCUGAUUCCGGGGCGAACCCCAUCACCGAGGCCGUGAUCGAGAAGGCCGAGGAGGGGAUCCUCGGCCCUUCCUCGAAAUCGGAUCCGGGUUCAUGUGAAAUGGCCGGAGGGGCCGUUAAUUGCUCCGACCCGCGUGUCUUGAUCGCGGUCGAGAAGUUUAAUUUGCGGGUUUUUAAGUCCGUUGUGUUUUUGGAAUAUCAAGCUCCGGUUAGCGGGUCGAAGCCGGGUGAGUGCGAUGUAGCUUAUAGGUUCAGGAACAAGAAGGAGAAGUCUUGGAGGAAGUAUAGGGAUUUUAGGAGGUUUAGGGUGGAGAUUGGAGACAAUUGCGAGUAUAAGGCGCUGCAUUCCGGCGGUUGGCAUUCAGGCACCAAUGCUCGUAGACCGAGUAGGUCGAAUGCCACGAGGGGCACCAAAGCAAAAAUAUUGACGCCUGUUGGAGACAAUGAGAUAAAUGAUACAAUUCCGAGCUUGGGAUCGGAUGCAAACUUUAGAAAGGGCAGAUACUUGUACUAUUCGCCUGGUGGGGAUUAUUGCAAGGAAAUGAAUCAUUAUUUGUGGAGUUUGCUUUGUGGAUUAGGAGAGGCUAUGUACUUAAACCGCACGUUUGUGCUGGAUUUGAACAUGUGCUUGGCUGCAACUUAUAACCCUAGUAAUAAGGAUGAGGAGGGUAAGGAUUUUCGAUAUUAUUUUGAUUUCGAACAUCUCAAGGAGGUGGCGUCAAUUGUGGAGGAGGGCGAGUUCCUUAAGGAUUGGAAGAAAUGGGAUAAGAGCCAUAAGAAAAAGAUGCCGGUGAGAAAGGUGGUGACAUAUAAGGUUACCCCAAUGCAACUGAGGAAAGAUAAGAGUUCAAUUAUAUGGAGACAGUUCGAUGCUCCAGAACCAGAGAAUUACUGGUACAGGGUUUGUGAAGGGCAAGCUGCAAAAUACAUCCAGAGGCCUUGGCAUGCGAUCUGGAAAUCGAAGAGAUUGAUGAAUAUAGUCUCGGAGAUUAGUGGGCGAAUGGACUGGGAUUUCGAUGCCGUACAUGUGGUCCGGGGAGAAAGCUCAGAAUAAAGAGCUCUGGCCUCAUCUUGAUGCUGACACUUCUCCUGAUGCUCUUCUUCUGAAGCUUAAGGGAAUGAUUGCGCCUUGGAGGAAUCUCUACAUUGCAACCAAUGAGCCUUUUUACAAUUACUUUGAUAAGUUGAGGUCUCAAUACAAAGUACACUUGCUUGAUGAUUACAGGGAACUGUGGUCAAAUACAAGCGAGUGGCAUAAUGAGACAAUGCUUCUAAACAAGGGAAGACCUGUAGAAUUUGAUGGUUACAUGAGGGUCGCAGUUGAUACAGAGGUCCUCUAUAGAGGGAAGACACGUGUGGAGACAUUUUAUAACCUAACAAAAGAUUGCAAGGAUGGAAUUAAUACAUGCUGACCAGGUUGACGAACACUCUUAUUGCUUCUUUUUGUUGUUUUAUAUCUUUUGCUAUGCCUUUUUUCUCUCAAUUCUUUCUCUGGAGUGAGAAGGUUGAGUUCAUCUUAGCACAUCUUACAUGUACCUGUUACUUCAUACAUUUGCUGAAUGUCAAUACGAUAAACUUACUGAAUCUGUUUGUACUAUUCUUCAGCUUCAUGCAAUUUCCUCGUUCUUCUAAAUUCCAAGUUGAUGUGUGCUUGAAAGCACUCGCUC